rnacentral:rRNA from 1 species
AUGGCGACGACCAGCAACAAGAAAAUGGCGUCGCCGUCGCCUAUGACGGACAUGCCCGACCAGCUCCUCGCCGAGAUCUUCCUCCGGCUGCCCACCCCACAAGACCUCGCCCGCGCCUCCGCCGUUUGCCUCACCUUCCGCCGAAUCUCCACCGACAGGUCCUUCCUCCGCUGCUUCCGCUGCCUCCACGCACCACCACUUCUCGGAUUCCUCGACCGCGACGGCUUCCACCCAGCCCUAACCUCCACCCCCGCCGUUCGCGCGGCCGCCGUCGCCGCCGAUUUCACCUUAUCCUUCCUCCCCUACCACCGCCGCUGGACCGUGCAGGACGUCCGCGACGGCCGCGUCCUCCUCUGCCGCAGCAUCGGAAAACAUGGGCAGCCCCCGGUCUUCAGAGAUCUCGCGGUGUGCGACCCCUUGCACCGGCGCUACGUCCUGCUCCCCCCGCUACCUCACGACCUGGCUGCUUUGCUUGGGCACCCUUUCCCCCCGGUAACCGAGGCCUGCUGCAAGCGCUUCCUCGUUCCCCUCGGUGAGGAGGAGGCAGCGGCUGGAGACACAACAUUCAUAGUCAUCUUGAUGGCAUAUUGCAAAACCAGUCUGGCUGCCUUUGUCUUCUCUUCCAGCAACGAUCAAUGGCAAGCUACUGCAUCCAAGGAUUUGAGUGAUUUGGCCCUUGACGAGGGCGACAUGGAGGAGAUGUCAAGGGUCCAGCCUUUUAUUCCCAUGCGCCAUUAUGCUUAUGGCUGUUUCUACUGGGACUGGGUGCAAUUCGGGAUGAAGAAGUUGCUCUUGCUUGACACCACGAACAUGGAGUUCUCCACUGCUGACCUCCCACCAGGAGAAUGGAGCAAGGAAGGUAUAGCCAUUGUGGAGGCAGGGGAAGGCAGGCUCGGGAUCUUUGGUUUCCAUGGUGGACUUGCAUCCAAUCUCAGCUAUACAGCUGCACGGACCAAAGGCGAGAGUCCCAGCCAGUGGCAGAUGGAGAAGACAAUCUCACUAGAUUCUGGCUACAAAUAUUGUAUCAGAGACGCAACACAGAGGUACUUGCUCUUGACAAGGAUAGAAGCAUCAUCUCCAAAUAAUCACCUUGUUGGAUAUUUCUCAAUGGAUAUCAAGACGUUGCAGCUUCAGAGGGUUUAUGAGAAACAGCACUAUAAGUAUCCGACAUACGCAUAUAUCAACUUCCCACCAUCAUUGUUGUCUUCAAGGAGAAUAUGA